rnacentral:tRNA from 1 species
GCUUGGGUAGCUCAGUCGGUUGAGCAUCUGACUUCGGCUCAGGUCAUGAUCUCACGAUCGUGGGUUUGAGCUCCACAUUGGGCU